rnacentral:rRNA from 1 species
GGAAACCCAGUGUGUUUCGACACACUAUCAUUAACUGAAUCCAUAGGUUAAUGAGGCGAACCGGGGGAACUGAAACAUCUAAGUACCCCGAGGAAAAGAAAUCAACCGAGAUUCCCCCAGUAGCGGCGAGCGAACGGGGAGCAGCCCAGAGCCUGAAUCAGUAUGUGUGUUAGUGGAAGCGUCUGGAAAGGCGCGCGAUACAGGGUGACAGCCCCGUACACAAAAAUGCACAUGCUGUGAGCUCGAUGAGUAGGGCGGGACACGUGGUAUCCUGUCUGAAUAUGGGGGGACCAUCCUCCAAGGCUAAAUACUCCUGACUGACCGAUAGUGAACCAGUACCGUGAGGGAAAGGCGAAAAGAACCCCGGCGAGGGGAGUGAAAAAGAACCUGAAACCGUGUACGUACAAGCAGUGGGAGCACGCUUAGGCGUGUGACUGCGUACCUUUUGUAUAAUGGGUCAGCGACUUAUAUUCUGUAGCAAGGUUAACCGAAUAGGGGAGCCGAAGGGAAACCGAGUCUUAACUGGGCGUUAAGUUGCAGGGUAUAGACCCGAAACCCGGUGAUCUAGCCAUGGGCAGGUUGAAGGUUGGGUAACACUAACUGGAGGACCGAACCGACUAAUGUUGAAAAAUUAGCGGAUGACUUGUGGCUGGGGGUGAAAGGCCAAUCAAACCGGGAGAUAGCUGGUUCUCCCCGAAAGCUAUUUAGGUAGCGCCUCGUGAAUUCAUCUCCGGGGGUAGAGCACUGUUUCGGCAAGGGGGUCAUCCCGACUUACCAACCCGAUGCAAACUGCGAAUACCGGAGAAUGUUAUCACGGGAGACACACGGCGGGUGCUAACGUCCGUCGUGAAGAGGGAAACAACCCAGACCGCCAGCUAAGGUCCCAAAGUCAUGGUUAAGUGGGAAACGAUGUGGGAAGGCCCAGACAGCCAGGAUGUUGGCUUAGAAGCAGCCAUCAUUUAAAGAAAGCGUAAUAGCUCACUGGUCGAGUCGGCCUGCGCGGAAGAUGUAACGGGGCUAAACCAUGCACCGAAGCUGCGGCAGCGACGCUGAUGCGUUGUUGGGUAGGGGAGCGUUCUGUAAGCCUGCGAAGGUGUGCUGUGAGGCAUGCUGGAGGUAUCAGAAGUGCGAAUGCUGACAUAAGUAACGAUAAAGCGGGUGAAAAGCCCGCUCGCCGGAAGACCAAGGGUUCCUGUCCAACGUUAAUCGGGGCAGGGUGAGUCGACCCCUAAGGCGAGGCCGAAAGGCGUAGUCGAUGGGAAACAGGUUAAUAUUCCUGUACUUGGUGUUACUGCGAAGGGGGGACGGAGAAGGCUAUGUUGGCCGGGCGACGGUUGUCCCGGUUUAAGCGUGUAGGCUGGUUUUCCAGGCAAAUCCGGAAAAUCAAGGCUGAGGCGUGAUGACGAGG